rnacentral:lncRNA from 1 species
AGAUAUUCCUGCUCCAGAGAAGGCAUGAUCAUUACUUCAGAGUUACAGUCCCUUCAUGAAAAUAGGAACCUUGAGAAUCAGUCCUUCCUGGAUGCACCUCGCUGGAAUACCUUUAUGCUCAGAAUGGACCUGAUGUUCAGACCAGGGGCAUUUUAUUGCAUUUCAUAGACGGUUGAGUUGAGAAUAUGUGGCAGAAACGAUCAUUAUCAGGCCACCUUUAGAGGCUAAGAAUGAAUCAGGAAAAUUCAAAACUAUGAUGCUGUCUUUUUUUUUUCCUUUUUAGUUUUUGAGAUGAAGUUUUGCUCUUGUCACCCAGGCUGGAGUAUAGUGGCACGAUCUCUGCUUACUGCAACCGCCACCUUCGAGAUUCAAGUGAUUCUCCUGCCUCAGCCUCCCGAGUAGCUGGGAUUAUAGGCAUGCACCAGCAUGUCUAGCUAACUCUGCAGAGACAGAGUUUCACUAUGUUGGCCAGGUUGGUCUUGAACUCCUGACCUCAGGUGAUCUGCCUGCCUUGGCCUCCCAAAGGGCUGGGAUUACAGGCGUGAGCCACCGCGCUGGCCAAUGCUGUCUUUUCUGAUACUAUUUUUUGUGGUAAUGGAAGAGUGACAAAUGAACUUGGAAAAUGGUCCCUGCUGUACCGAACGUGUCAACAGCAAAGAACGAUUCCCUGUAGUCUGUUUUAGCUUCCAGCACUGCUCAUGGAGCUUCUGAGAGCCCUGCAAUAAAUACCUUUGGAACUAAUGUGAGCAAAAACCAGGAGGCAGAAGCAGGAAUUCAGAACAUCUCCUAGAUGUGGAAGAAGCCUCUGAACUGAAGGGCUUUAGGAAGAAAAACACAACCCGGCCUCUGUGUGCAGUCUCUCAGCAUCCACGCGGCACGUGAACCCUUGGGAACAUUCAUCUCUAUUUUAAAAUAAAUGCUUUAGGUAUCCUCUCCGAUUGUCCUAUAAGGGAGUUUUUACACUACUCAGAUGGGAACUUGGACAAUUCACCGGAUGGCCUCUGCUGAGGGAUGCCCCUUAGGGACACGAUCCUAAUAAGCAAGACCAGGAAGGCUGGGAAGACCAUUUGCAAGCAAGCCAGCCACAUGCUAGGGAAACAAUGUCCCAUUGUGUGACUUGCUCAGCAUUCCAGAAAAUGCCAUCAUCGGAGAGAUGAAUGUGCAUCUGCUGUGGAUAUUGAAAUGCCUUUUAUUACCCGUUUGACUUUCACACAUAAUGUGUCUUUUCUGGGUCAUUUUUUCUUUUCAUAGCGGCAAUUUUUAGACUCAUUUCUUCAAGCCUUAAGGCAGUUUAACACCACUAAAAAUGCAUCAGAGAGUAGAUGGAACUCUCUAGCCUGAGGAAAGAAAGGAAACUAAUAUUUUAUGUGAUUUUUAGAUACUGUGUGUUAGCAAUAGCCCAACAAAGAUCCCUUAAUGACAAUCAAAAUAUAGGAUGGUUCCAGGGUAUAAGCAACAGUAAGCUUGGAGUGAUUGGCAAUUUCCAGCUGUGACUAGCUCUCAGAAGCACCGCAUUGACAAUGAGGUGUGAAUUUUUGUGUGAGGGAAUUUGAUUUAAAUGUUCCAAGUUAUGUUAUAAGUUCAUGUAAACCUGCCAUUUGCUAAACAACAGGACUUUGUCAUGCGAAGUAGAAAAAUUAAAUCCUCACGUUCACCCACCUAUCUAUACAAAGGCAAAAGCUGUUUGCACACUGUGUGAACGUGGAAGAGGGUUUGGAUGCAGCCAGGACUGUGGGGAAUCAUGGCUUGGGAAGGAGCUUUGCCCGCAAGCCCCUCUCCCAUCUUCUUCUCUUUUGUGUCUCCCUGAGAUCCAAGGUGAAAGCCCCUUUGCCUCCUUCCUGACAAUUUAUCAGGGCUUUGAGGAGAGCAACGUCAGUGCCUAUUUUCCACGUGGGCUUAGGAAGCCAGAGGAGACUCUUCGAACUCUAGACCAAAAGGCGUUUUGCGGAUCAUGCUCUUUGCUCUGUAGCUCGAGGGAGGAAACAGUGAGGAGUGUCGGAGGCAGAGACAUGGGAGAAGGAAGCAGAGCUCCAGCAGCCUGCACCACCGCCCCGGCAGCCUGCACCACCGUCCAGCUCACACCUCCAUCAUGCAUCAGCCUCACACAAUAGCAGCAGACAUGAGUUUGUUUUACUUCAUGAACAUGCCCAGGCAGCAGCUGGAGCUAACCAGGUACAGCAUGCAGGGAAGUGACAUAUAUUACUAACCACUCAGGUCAGGGCAGACCUUUGGGGCCUCCACGAUAAGUCAACAAUGGAGGAGGCUGAUUCCCAAAUCACAGAUGAGAACGAGAGACUCAGAGGGCCCUCUGCUCAGCAUCAUGGGAUGCUGGAUUCAAAUGGGCUUUCUUUUUUUGUAACUUGGGAACUUAUCACUUAAAUCCGUGGUUGAUCAGUAAACAAUCCUAAAUACACAGAGACUGUUCGGCAAAUAUUUCCUCCCGGGCUUAUAUCUACACUUGGCAAAACUUUGCAAUUUUUUUUAUUUAUCCUUCACAUCUGGUUGUUUGUAAUUGACCAGCAACCACAGUAUCCAGGCUUAAGGAGCACCACACAAAACAAGAGCCAGGAGGGUGGGCAAGAGAAGAAAACACUGCUAUAAUUCAGGGCACACACAAACACACACACUCACACACACAUGCAUACAUGCAUACCAGUAAUCACAUGAGAUCCAAAAGCAUGUUUACAAGACACUAAAAGAUGUGAAUAUACUUGCACCCUACAGAAGUUGGCACAAUGCAAGCGCUCAGCAAACAUGCCUCAGUUUCCAAGUGCCCCUCUUAGCAGCACACUUCUGCCUGCCUUGUUUGGUGCAAUGGCUCACUCUGUUUCUGUGGCCAUGAAUCCAGAACCCAGGUGCUGAUGCCACCCAGAGCCAGGAGCCCUGCAAGAUAUUGGCCGAUAAAACAGAGCCACCUCACCCAAACGCUGGCUGCACUGAGCCUGCUGAGGCUCUGGCUUCUUCAGCAGACAUAUGGGAUGCCCAAAAUCAGAGGGAAUCAAUGCCCCAGGGGUCAUACUUUGAGAAGGGGACACAGGAACUGAGAGGACUCAUGGUAAACAUCGGGCCCCAGGGGUACACCCAGGCUGUCUAGAGGCACCGGUGAGACAGAGCAUCUCCCUGGGCUGAUUCUGAAGCUGAGCACAGCUUCCCAGCACGUUUGGCAUCUCUGUCUGGUUCCAAUUUCCCUCACUCUCGCUUCACU